GGGCGGUUAGCUCAGUUGGUUUAGAGCGCCUGCCUUACAAGCAGGAGGUCACUGGUUCGAAUCCAGUAUCGCCCA
rnacentral:tRNA from 1 species